UAAUUUUUGUUAAUAGAGAUAAUCAAAGAUAUUAAAGGUAAAGAAAUAAGGGUAAAUAAUUUUUGCACUUGAACUUAUAGCGAGUAGCCACAAUAAUACCUCAAUGUGGCAAAAUUAUAAAAUAAAUUUUAAUUGUGUGCUCCGUUAGUAAAAUAGUAUAUGAUGUCCCUGAAAUUAAAAGCUACUUUUGAUUAAUUCUUGUUGAUUUUAUAUGUCUAAGGACUAUUUUGACUAAUAGGGUUCAAAAUAAAAGAUUAUUUCAAAAUUUUGUUAUAUUGAAAGACUAUCGUAACUAUUUGUUAGAUAUUUAACGGAAAAAUGACGAUUUGCUCAAAAGAUAAAGAAAGAUGAACAUUAGAUAUGACGAUUCUCUCAUUUAAACUUAGUGCGAAUCGGGUACACAUUGUCCUCCCGCCCUCAUAACCUUUUGGAAGUAGGAUAGAAAAUAAUGUGAAUAGGGGUUCCACAUAAAGAUAAAUUUAGUAGAAACGAAAUAUUUCACGGCCGGAAAAGGCAUUGUACUUCUCCAAUUAAAUGUAUUGUUAGUUUUAACUUUUAAGGGUCGUCCACUUUGCAAUAUUUAAAAUGAUUAGAAAUUUUAAUGAUACUAUUUAAUAAAAAAAAAACAUCAUGACUUGUCUUAUAUUUACCUUGUUGUGUUAAGAUUGUAAUUUGAUUGAGAUCAUUAACAUCUACUACCACGAGAUGAGAUCUAUAAUUGUCUGAGUUUUAAAUAUUUUGAAGUACUAGUUCAACGUCAGGUCAUUUAUAAAUGUGGACAAUAUUAGAAUUUCUGGACAAUAUUAGAAUUUCUCUUUUGUUUAAGAGUUUAGUUUCUAUAAUGCAAAGUUAUUUUGCACAUACAUCUAUCCAAUGAUGUGGCAUCAUUCAAUAUAUUUGUAAAAUAACUUUACACUGAAGUGCAUAUAAAUUAAAUUAUUUGUUUAACCUGUUGUUUAUGAUAUGAUAGAUAGUUUAGUAAUUGGUAUGAUCUUUAUAAAAUAUAAUUGUUGAUCCACAUUUUUUUAUUUUAAUUUAGGAAAAUGCUAAUAUGUGUUUUUAUGAACGUUAACAUGACCGAAUAAUUUUUUCCCACUUUUCAUGUAACUUCUCUCGUGGAAAUUCAUUGCAUCCACUUUUGUGCAUAUUAGACAUGACAUGUUCUCUAUGAUUACCUACUUUUCCAUAAAUGAAAUGACACACUUCAUCCGUCCAUAAUUAUAAGAUCUUUUACAAAAAUUAGGUUGUUUUUAAAGAUUAAUUCAAAUUAUUAGAUACAUCCAUGACUUUUAAAAAAAAUAUAUAGUCAUUAUUAAUAUUAUCAAUUUUUCUUGGAAUAUGAAAAAUAAAUAUUAAUUAGGUAAUUAAUGAUAGUCAUAAACAUUUUAGAUAAACUUACUAUCCCAACAACUUUAUUUUAAUAUUAGUGAUUUUUGUUAGAGAUUCUAUAAUAAGGUAGUAUUUAGUACUCCCUCUUUUUUUUUUAGCAAAUUUAAUACUC
rnacentral:lncRNA from 1 species